rfam:Flexistipes sinusarabici DSM 4947, complete genome.
GGUCAAGCUACUAAGGGCAGAUGGGGAAUGCCUUGGCGGUGGCCGGCGAAGAAGGACGUGUCAAGCUGCGAAAAGCUACGGUUAGCUGCUAAAGAGCGUAGAUCCGUAGAUAUCCGAAUGGGACAACCCGUCUGGAUUAAUGUCCAGUCAUCCCGCCCUUAUUUACUAUACGAGGUGCUUAUGUAUUAUGUUUAUGUACUUUCAUCUGGUAAAGAAGUUUAUAUAGGCUUUACAUCAGAUUUGAGGCGUCGCCUUAGAGAGCAUAAUAGCGGCAGGAGCAGAUAUACAUCUGGUAAGAGAUGGUAUUUGGUGUAUUAUGAGGCGUAUUUAAGUCGUGCAGAUGCAGUUUAAGAGAAAGUAAACUGAAGCAGCAUGGAGGAGGAUAUCGCCAUUUAAGGGAGCGCAUUAAGCAUAGUCUGGAAGAGAUUUCGUGUGAUAAAUAAGGGCGGGAGGCCAACCCGGGGAAGUGAAACAUCUCAGUACCUGGAGGAAGAGAAAACAACAGUGAUUCCGUAAGUAGCGGCGAGCGAACGCGGACGAGCCUAAACCGAGCACUAAAAUUAGUGUUCGGGGUAGUGGGACCCGCGAUAUACGUAUUAUAUUUAUAGCAGAAUAAUCUGGAAAGAUUAGCCACAGAGGGUGAUAGCCCCGUAAGCGAAAUAGAUAUAAUAUGUUAGCGGAGAUCCCGAGUACCACGGGAUAAGAGGAGCCUUGUGGGAAUCAGGGAGGACCACCUCCUAAGGCUAAAUACGAGCCACCGACCGAUAGUGCACAAGUACCGUGAGGGAAAGGUGAAAAGAACCCCUGUUAGGGGAGUGAAAUAGAACCUGAAACCAUCUGCCUACAAGCAGUCGGAGCUGGAUUAAUUAUUUAAUUUGGUGACGGCGUGCUUUUUGUAUCACGAGCCUGCGAGUUACGUUAUUCAGCGAGGUUAAGCCGCGAGGUGUAGCCGUAGGGAAACCGAGUCUUAAUAGGGCGUUAGUUGGAUGGCGUAGACCCGAAACCAACCGAUCUACCCUUGGGCAGGGUGAAGGUGGGGUAAAACCCACUGAAGGCCCGAACCGUUGUAGGUUGAAAACUACUCGGAUGACCUGAGGGUAGGGGUGAAAGGCCAAUCAAGGUUGGUGAUAGCUGGUUCUCUCCGAAAUGCAUUUAGGUGCAGCCUCGGUAGAUGUAUUCUGGGGGUAGAGCACUAUUUGGGCUAGGGGCCAUCCCGGUUACCGAACCCAGAUAAACUCCGAAUACCAGGAUAUGUAACAUACCGGGAGUGAGACUAUAGGUGAGAAGAUCUAUAGUCGAGAGGGUAAGAGCCCAGACCGUCGGUUAAGGUCCCUAAAUGUAGUCUAAGUGGUAAAGGAUGUGAAGUUGCAGAGACAACCAGGAGGUUGGCUUAGAAGCAGCCACCCUUUGAAGAAAGCGUAACAGCUCACUGGUCAAGCAGCUUUGCGCCGAAGAUAUAGCGGGGCUAAGACUACUACCGAAGCCACGGAUCUCAGAGGAUAGAAUACAGAAUACAGAGGUCAGAGUUAUGGCAAUAGCAAAUUAUAAAGAUUUGUUAGUUUAUAUGAAAUCAUAUGAUUUGUCAUUGAGGAUUCAUCACAAGACUUUAAGUUUUCCUGUAUUUGAGAAAUAUGAGUUAGGUAGACAGAUGCGGAAUGCAAGUAAAUCCAUAUGCAGCAAUUUGGCAGAAGGUCAUGCCAAGAGUAAGGUAUCGGGCGAAGAGUUCAAGCGUUAUAUUCAGAUAUCACUAGGCUCAUCAGAAGAGCUGCAGGUAUGGUUGGACUAUAGUAAGUCACUUGGUUAUAUGAGUGAAGAUGAAUAUAAUGAAUUUAAGUCUGGCUAUCAGGAAAUCAGCAGGAUGCUGCAGGGAUUAUAUAGGAAAUGGGGAUGAAUUUAGAUUUUUAAUGAUAUCAUUCUGUAAUCUGUGAUCUGUACUCUGUCCUCUGGGGUGGUAGGAGAGCAUUCUGCUUAGCGCUGAAGGUAGACUGUGAGGGAUACUGGAGCAAGCAGAAGAGAUAAUGCAGGCAUGAGUAGCGAGAAAACGGGUGAGAAACCCGUUCGCCGAAAGCCUAAGGUUUCCACCGGCAGGGUGAUCCGCGGUGGGUUAGUCGGGUCCUAAGACGAGGCCGAGAGGCGUAGUCGAUGGCAAACAGGUUAAUAUUCCUGUACCGGCAUAUAUGUGAUUGACCGAUGGGGUAACGGAGAAGGUUAUGCGGUCCGGGUGAUGGACGUCCCGGUUUAAGGCAGUAGGUAGUGCAUGUAGGCAAAUCCGCAUGCAUGGUGAUCUGAGAGCCGAGUACGAUCAGCCGAAGGGCUGAGAAGCCGCAAGUACCAAGCUUCCGAGAAAAACCUCUAAGGGAAUAUGUAUGCCGUCCGUACCGCAAACCGACACAGGUAGGCAGGGUGAGAAUCCCGAGGCGAUUGAGAGAACUCCAGCUAAGGAACUCGGCAAAAUGCCACCGUAACUUUGGGAGAAGGUGGGCUCCAAUUAGGUGAAAGU